AUACGGGGGGUGCAAGCGUUAUUCGGAUUUAUUGGGCGUAAAGGGCGCGUAGGCGGCUUGGUAAGUCAGAUGUGAAAGCCCGGGGCUCAACCCCGGAAGUGCAUUUGAAACUAUCAGGCUUGAGUAUGGGAGAGGGAAGUGGAAUUCCUGGUGUAGAGGUGAAAUUCGUAGAUAUCAGGAGGAACACCGGUGGCGAAGGCGACUUCCUGGACCAAUACUGACGCUGAGGCGCGAAGGCGUGGGGAGCAAACAGGAGUAGAUACCCCAGUAGUCC
rnacentral:rRNA from 1 species